AACGAACGCUGGCGGCAGGCCUAACACAUGCAAGUCGAGCGAGGUAGCAAUACCUAGCGGCGGACGGGUGAGUAACGCGUGGGAACGUACCCUUUGCUACGGAAUAGCCUCGGGAAACUGAGAGUAAUACCGUAUGUGCCCUUCGGGGGAAAGAUUUAUCGGCAAAGGAUCGGCCCGCGUUGGAUUAGGUAGUUGGUGGGGUAAUGGCCUACCAAGCCGACGAUCCAUAGCUGGUUUGAGAGGAUGAUCAGCCACACUGGGACUGAGACACGGCCCAGACUCCUACGGGAGGCAGCAGUGGGGAAUCUUAGACAAUGGGGGAAACCCUGAUCUAGCCAUGCCGCGUGAGUGAUGAAGGCCUUAGGGUUGUAAAGCUCUUUCAGUGGGGAAGAUAAUGACGGUACCCACAGAAGAAGCCCCGGCUAA
rnacentral:rRNA from 1 species